CUGCAGUUAAACAUUGAUGAGUUGCCUCCUGACUGUGGAUUUCCUGGAAUCCUUUCAGUUAAGGUCAUCCUUUCGGAUGUGCUACAGAGCUGAUUUAAACACCCACUGGGAAAGUGACUGGAUCAGCAGCUCUUUGAACGUAGAAGUGGCCUUCAAGCGCUUUGUUCUCAGCUCUCACAGUUCCAGUAGGUUUGUGUGAUGAAGACUCAACCAGGGCCCAACGUGACAUCAUUCAACCCCUCUUUCAGCAGUGGCACCUCUAUUUCUCACUCGGUCCUCAAGAUGCCCAGCAGUUCCUCCACCGUCACACGCUGUAUCUCAAGGCUUUAUGGCACUCCAUUUUUGAGCCAAGAGGUUUUGAUGCCACAGGAGAUGUCACCUCCUGCCUGAGGCCAGAUUUUGACCAUAAAAGGGAAGGAUGGAAUGUUGGGCGACAGCCCCGAUUGGCUGAGCACCUUCUCGUGAUGGUUUCGGGGGAAAUAACCAGGUUGGAGUCAUUUUCCUCUCCCGUCCCGAGUCAAGAAUGAAAACAAUGCGACCAAACCGUGUGGUUCACCAUUGAAACCAAGGCAGGACUUUUUGUGUCUGUGCCUCCUACUGUUCUUGGUUCCACCUGCAUGAAACCGAGCCCUCGCUUCUGUGUGUCCCAUCCAACAUCUCUGUGGCCACUGUUGGUUGAUGCUAUCUUGGAGGUGAAUGGGAGCGAUUCGGUGGCCACGUUGGCCAGGAACCACAACUGCCUCCUGCCAACCUGACAGCCUCCUGUUGGGAGAACACAAAAACCUCCUUCUUGUGGUUGCGUAUCCUAUAUCCAAAACCUGGCAGAACAAAGUGCCUUUGUGCUUGGACACCCCUCCCACCCAGCUGCAUUGUGGCUGCCCUCAUUAGAUCAUUUCUGCGGCUAAAAUAGGACUUCACUCUCGUGACUCAUUUGCCUAAAAUGUGCCACCAGCACUGACUUACAGCCUUUAAUAAAAAUGAUAAAGAAGCUGAGAGAGUUUCCUGGAAACCUUGUCAGCCUUGAGUUGGGAGCAGAUGUUGGCAGCAAGCAAAGUAUUUUUAAGCUCUAUAAAGGCAUUUUCCUGUUUAAUGAUUACCCUGAGAAAUCUCAAGGCUGAAUCAGAGUGUUUGUGAUCAGCUUCACCCUGCUGGGAAAGCCGCACCCAGAGAAAUUCUCCUCUCCUCACCUUCACCCAGUGAGAACAAGCUGAUGGUGUGGGUAACACUGGCCCUGAAGCCAGAAGCUGCUCCCAGUCAUCACCAACUUCUUCCUGUUUGCCCUCCAUGUGCAGCAGCUCCGGUGCCAGUCCUAGCAGGCGCUGAGCAAGCCCUGGUUAAGAAGAAAUUCUUCUAUUUGCUGCAUUCACAAGGCUUUGAGAAUAGUCUUUUUCCUACAGAAACUCUUCUCAGCCUCCUGCCUGCAGGAAUCCCUUUUGCAAGGGAAAACAUUCUCAGUGCUGGUUGUUGAGGCUCAUUGAAUGAGUUGUUGAGGCUCACUGAAGCC